rnacentral:rRNA from 1 species
CAUCGCCUCUUGCAUCCAUAAGAGGUCCAGCCUGCCCAGUGACCCAGUUUAACGGCCGCGGUAUCCUAACCGUGCGAAGGUAGCGUAAUCACUUGUUUUCUAAAUAAAGACUAGUAUGAAAGGCACCACGAGAACUAAACUGUCUCCCUUUUCUAAUCAGUGAACCUAAUCUCCCCGUGAAGAAGCGGGGAUUUUUUAAUAAGACGAGAAGACCCUAUGGAGCUUAAAAUAUCAUAACACCUGACACCCUCACCCACAAGAUGAUUAUGUAUUUUUGGUUGGGGUGACCGCGGAGAAAAACCCAUCCUCCGCGAUAAAAGAGCCCCCCUCCCCAACAAGUUACAGCUUUAUGUAUUAGAAAACUAACCCCCAUUGACCCAAUAUAUUGAUUAACGAACUAAGUUACCCUAGGGAUAACAGCGCAAUCCACUUCAAGAGCCCCUAUCGACAAGUGGGCUUACGACCUCGAUGUUGGAUCAGGGUAUCCCAGUGGUGCAGCCGCUACUAAAGGUUCGUUUGUUCAACGAUUAAAACCCC